CGUCCUACGGGGCGCAGCAGUGGGGGAUGUUGCACAAUGGGGGAAACCCUGAUGCAGCGACGCCGCGUGUGGGAAGACGGUCCUCUGGAUUGUAAACCACUGUCCCCAGGGACGAAGAUGACGGUACCUGGGGAGGAAGCUCCGGCCAACUACGUGCCAGCAGCCGCGGUAAUACGUAGGGAGCGAGCGUUGUCCGGAAUUACUGGGUGUAAAGGGAGCGUAGGCGGGACUGCAAGUUGGGUGUCAAAUCUACCUGCUCAACCGGUAGCAGCACUCCAAACUUCAGUUCUUGAGUGAAGUAGAGG
rnacentral:rRNA from 1 species